rnacentral:lncRNA from 1 species
GAAAAAACAAGAAAUUACAAGUAUGUAAACGAACUAGUAAUAGUGUAUAAAAUUGCUAAAUAAUUUGUAUGGAACGCAAAACGCUACAGACAACAAUCCGACCAAAAGAAAAACCUACAGGCUCCUUGGAGCCGGCGUCACUCACCUGAUAAUUUUUGUACAAUAGAUGCCUGAAAUAAUUCAACUGUUAUACUUUUGCUUUAGUUUCAGAGAUAUAAGUCAAAAGCUGCAUACCCCCCUAAGGUCUAUUUUUAGCCAUGUCUGCCGUGUUGGUUGGCAGACAGAGUCACAUUUUUUGUUUAAAAAGAUACCCUUAUGCUGAUUUAGGCCAAGUUUUGUUAAAUUUGUCUCAGUUGUUGCAGGAGAAUACUAUUGCAUAAGGUAACAAUAAUUUACGAAAAAUUAUUAAAUUUGACUUCAAAGGGCAAUAAAUUUUUAUGAGAUCAAUUGACCUUAUUAAUAUUCAAGAUAAUAACCCAAAACGCAAAAUUCCUUAGAUUUACUUAUUCAAGAGCAGCAAACCAACAACGGCUUGUCUUAUUUGUCUACAAAUUUCAGGGCAGAUAGAUCUUGACCUGAUAAACAUUUCUAUCUUGUCACAUUUGCUGAAUGCUUUGGUUUUAGAGAUAUAAUCCAAAUCAACAUUUUACCCCUCUGUUCAUUUUUUAGCGAAGUCGGCCAUCUUGGUUGGUUUGCUGGGUCAUCGGACACAUUUUUCAAAUAAGAUACCCCAAUGAUGAUUGUGGUCAAGUUUGGUUAAAUUUGACCCAGUAGCUGCAGAGGAGAAGAUUUUUGCAAAAGUUAACGACGGACUACGGACGACGAAGGAAUGCGGACUCCUAGUGACGAUAAAAGCUCACUCGGCCCAUCGGGUCAGGUGGGCUAAAAAGUAAAUGUUUUUCAUUCGUUUUUGGUGAUGGUCUUUUAAGAAUGUAGUCAUUUUUUUCAGUUUAUGUUUAUCUUAAAAGCUAUUGGUUAAAUUUAUUAUUGUUUUACAUUAUAUUAAGGAUCAUAAUUAUCACUGUUUUAUUUUUUGUUACUUUAUAGGGAUAUCUAUCAAAAGCGGUUCUGUCAAUAAGUGAGAGAUCGUCUGAUAUCGGAUAAGAAAAGAGUCCAAUCUUAAUAACAAAGAAUUGAUAUGGAAAUUGAGGAAGUUGAAAAUGACUUACAAAAGAUCACCUCUAUUUCGGACCAUGAAUAAUGUCUAAAAAUAAGUGGAAAGGAAGAAUUGAACAUAACUUACACGUGUGUAACUAUAUAUGUGAAUAAUCAAUAUAUGUGAAUAACCAUUUUAGAUCUUAAGAAGACUCAAUAAAAUGACAACGGAAGAUAAGAAAAUGCGGC